UAUGAUUUAGUUUAAAUUAGAAUAGUUAAUUGUCUGUUAAUAGGUGUAUUUUCAAUCAUGU
rnacentral:tRNA from 2 species